GCCGAUAUAGUCUAGCGGUUAUGAUUCGUCACUCGUAUUCUCAUCAAUUCGAUAUGACGGGGUCCUCAGUUCAAAUCUGAGUGUCGGCA